rnacentral:tRNA from 1 species
GCUAAAUUAGUUUAAAUAAAAUACCAGCUUGUGGAUCUGGAGAUAAAAUAAUUUUUAUUUAGCC